rnacentral:rRNA from 1 species
CUGGAACUGAGACACGGUCCAGACUCCUACGGGAGGCAGCAGUGGGGAAUAUUGCACAAUGGGCGCAAGCCUGAUGCAGCCAUGCCGCGUGUAUGAAGAAGGCCUUCGGGUUGUAAAGUACUUUCAGCAGUGAGGAAGGUGGAUGCGUUAAUAGCGUAUUCAUUUGACGUUAGCUGCAGAAGAAGCACCGGCUAACUCCGUGCCAGCAGCCGCGGUAAUACGGAGGGUGCGAGCGUUAAUCGGAAUUACUGGGCGUAAAGCGCAUGCAGGUGGUUUGUUAAGUCAGAUG